AAAAUAAGCUCAAAGGAGAGCUAUGACACGUAAGCUUAAAAAAUCAUCCAAUUAGGGAUAAGCUAUUUUACACAUCGUUUAUUCAAUUCUGAGUUUCUUCUAUGGCUUUAAACUACUUAGCUCUGGCCCAAAAAAGAGCCCACUUCAAUAGCCCUAACUUCUGAAACGAUGAUAGCUUCUAUCGCCUUCCCCUCAGACACUUCGUCUUCUCCGCUUCGAGUUCUUGCGACCUCCGUUACCGCAAUCUCACUUCUUAUCAAUCAAUAGUUUUGUUAACUUCACUCUUUAUGAUUUCGUUUCGCAUCCCUCCCUUUCUCAUUCUUUAUAUACUACUGUUUUUUCUUUCUUUUGCUACAAACCAAAACACUCAAAUCUCCUCAAAUCGAUCUCAAGCUCUAGCAUGGCCAAUGAUCAGGAAGUUAUGUUCUUCAGAGCUAUAUCACUAGGUCCCCACGAAACCCAGAUAUGCUACCGUCUAAUCCAUUUCUGGGAGCUCCGAACCCCACUGAAAAAAAACAUUUAUUGGUCUGGAAAUUCUCCUCAUCGACGAACAGGAACUGUUAUUCAAGGAUUCAUUCCAUCAGGAUGUGUUAAAAAAUAUUUGCCUGACAUGAAACAAGGAUCAGUUUACAGUCUCUUGACCUUCUACGGAUCCAAAAACAAAACGGUGCACCGGGUUGCUGAUCAUAGCGUAACCGUUUCUUUCUCAUAGAACUCUAUCAUGUCGGUUCUUAACGACAGUCCCGUCCCCUUUGACGAAGACCGUUUACGCUUCCAUUCAUAUGAGGAUUUUGAAGCUAAAUGUGAUCUCAAAUGUGACCUCUACGAUGUUGUUGGACACAUGAAGCUGGUCAAUGGACAUGAGAGCGUCCCAUCCUUAACGAAGCGGAGAUAGCAACUAUGCGGCAUCUUUUGGUUCAUGUGCAAUCGCAUGACGGACCUGUUUUGAUCAAUUGAGCAGAUAAUGUUUCCAAAUUUUCACGAAUUCUGGUGAGAGAGUAUUGUUCUGGAUAUAUUGAUAUGCAAUUGAUUUGGUAUGAUCCUUGAAAAACGUUGCCAUUCUAUGUCUUAAAUCUAAGUUGUUAUAUAGAACUGAGUUAUAUCUUAUACCUUUUUAAUGUAAGGAUUUGGGUUGUCAUGUAUAGCUAGACCACGCCAAUGUGAUGGUCAAACAUACGAGUUCGUGUUCACACAUGACCUAGCUAUCGUACGUUUGAUGCGAGUACUGAACUUUUUUUAGAUGGAAAGGGCAUUGGCGCCGUUCACACCAACUCAUUGAGACAAAGAUGAGUGGCAUCCACUGCAAGGCGCUUGGCGUUUUAUUCAAGCACGCACUCUUUGGAUCAUCUUCUUGACAUAAUGACAUUGGAGUUGAACACAAUCUUUCUCAAGUUUAACAUGCUUCCCUCCUUGAAAACAAGUGAGUCUCUAUAGGCUGAUUUUUGGUGGCUCAUAGUGGAAGCAACAACACGGAGUACGAUUCAUAUCUCCAAGACCAGUAUAGAUAUUAGUCAGUGGUGUUGGUUGAGAUAUGGUUUUACUCAGAAUGCAGUGAGUGGGAUGGAACUUGGGAAAGAAGCACGUGGCUCAAUUUAUCAAACACUGUGACAUUGUGGUCAUCUGCUUCUCCUCAGUUCCGACAGACCUCAACAACCGCAGAGGAUGGUGAAGGUUUUGUGUUUCUGCUGAAGCUCGAACUCAGUUACAAGCGAUGCUUGAAAGGGGUUGAAACCAGUCUUUUUUGGCAGUAUAUAUACAGAGGGGUAUCGACAUAUGGAGAGUGGUGAACCGAGGCGGGAGAUUGGGAAUAUGAUGAAGUCUGGAGAAUGUUGUUCAACUGAUGCACUGAGAUUUGAGAGGCUUGGUGGAUGUAAGAUAAAGCUUGGUGAAUGUAAAACAAGAUUCUAAUGAUUUUAAUACACUUAUGCAUUAUUUUUACAACAAUCAUAUAUCGUUUAUUGUAUGUGCUUUCUAGGAUCAUAUAUGUGUUGGCUAAUUAAUACAGUUUAUGGCUUAUCUUAAUAAGAAAAAAAAAACAGUAUGAAUCUAUUAUCAUUAUACUGCAAUAUGUAAUGCUUAGAGAUAUUAGUUUAAUUUUAUUUUUCUUUUAGCCUGAUUAGCAAUUAAUAUCCUAUAACUACAAAAUACUACGAACAUUAAACUUCUCUAUUUUAUUGUAAUUUAGAAUUAUUACCCUAAACAAAAUUAGUAAUGUAACUUUAUUAGAUCAAAUGUUCAUUUAUAUUUUACACUUUCAAGGUUCGUUUCUUGAAAGAAAACCUUCGAUGAACCUGAGGAUUCUAAUAGCAUCUUAUAUUAUCACUUAUCUUCUAAGUGUUAUAGUUAUGUGGUUAGGAAGAUUACAAUAACUAGCUAGCUAACAAAACCUUCAUAAAACUAAUAUAUACUGUUUAGAAUAAGAUGCUUUAAAUACAUUUCUUCAUUUUUUUUUUUUACCAAAAGAGAAGUCAAUCUUCUAGAAAUAUCAAAACUAUUAAUAUAAUUGGCUUUUAUAUAUCAAAAAUGAGAAAACAUAAUUUUGAUUGACAGAAUUUAAAUACAAAACAUUCACAGAUUUUCAAUUUUUAAAUGAUUUAAAUAAAAUGUUAUCUGCACGGAAUAUAUAUAUAAUUUUAUAUUUCUAUAAAAAAAAUUUACAUAAAACGAAUUCCUGCAUCCACAACUAUAUAUUUUGAUUACUGUUCUCAUAAAUUUUAAUUUCUAUUUUGAUCGUAAAGACUAAAAUGUAAGUCUGCAACUGUAAAAGAUUUAAAAUAAGAGAAAUUCUAUAAAAGUAUCUUAAGUAAACUUUGUUACAUUUUUAAUACUCGAAUUAUUUUCAACCAAGUUUAAUACUUCAAUUAAUUAUUUUGUUCAUUUUAAUACACUAACUUUAAAAUUAUGUCCACUUUAAUAUUCAAGAUAUGCUCAUUUUAAAGAAAAUUAUUAAAAAGUCUCAAACAAAACAAAAAAAAAAACUCUACAAAAUUCAAAACCAAAUCUUAAAAUUUGUAAUUUUAUGUUAAUUUAUAGGAAAAUAAACUAAAUUGAGGAUAAUCUUAAACUUUUUUAAUUUUAGUUAAUAUCAACUUUAAUUUGUAUACUGAAACUUAAAAAAUGAAUAUUAUUCAUUUAUUUUCCAAUCAAAAUAUUUUUUUUUCUAAUUUUCUUAAAUUUAUCCAAAUUUAGUUGAUUUUAUUGCUACAAUUCAAAAUAGAAUUUUUUUUAAUUUUUGGUUUUAAUUUAGAAAAUUUUAUAAAUUUCAUUUGAAACUUAUUAAUAUUUUUUAUUCAAGUAACAUAGUUUGAAUAUUAAAAUGAGCACAAUAUUAAAAAUUAAUGGAUAUAUAUGAACCAAAAAAAAAUAUUUGAAGUAUUAAACUAAUAGUACAAAAAUAAUUAAACCAAUUAAUGAAAUUUAGUUGAAGUAUUUUGUAUAAUUUUCCCUUAAAAUAAUCUUUAUGUAAAUUAUUUACCACAAAAUAAUUGACUAAGUUUUUUUUUGUCUCUAAGAACAAAAAAGAACACAAAACCUUUUUUUUAGCAACAACAUAACACAAUAUCUAAAGAUACAAAUACAUGAAGAUCACUAAGAAAAUCAAAAUAUGACUCUUAAUUUAUUACUUUUAAACAUAAUUUUCUUAAGCAUAUUAUAUAUGUACCUAUUUAAUUUGAUCAACCAAAUCCGCGCGUAGCGCGGUAAAGUAACCUAGUUCUUGUAAUGUUAUUUAUUUGCUUAACUUGGUUUAAAUGAUAUAAAUUCAUCCAUUCAAGACAGUACUAUACAAACAAAACGUAUGAAUUAAUGUUGAACCAUGACUUUUUUACUGUUCUUUGCCUACCAUUAUCAACUUAGUAGUUAGAUAUUAACUUUCAUCUAUACUAGAGUUUAUACUUUUAUAUGAUCUAAUUAAUAUUAAUAAUAAAUUUAUCAUGCAAAUACAAUAAUGUUAGAAUUUUACCUUGCCAAUAAUAAAUCGAAUCAAAUAUUAAAAAUCCUAACACUAUUGUAUUUGCAUAAUAAAUAUUAUUAUUAUUAAUUAUAUUAUACAUGUAUCAAUAUUUAUAUAAGUAUUGUGUUUGUCAAUCAUGUUUUUGAAUUGUAAAUUAUAAAUUGUAAGUCAACCUAACCCCUAAAUACUAAAUCUUAAGAAAAAUCACUAAACUUUAAA